CCAUAAAUUUAUAAUAUAAUAUUAAAAAAUAUCCUAAUUACUUUUAAGAUUUAAAUAUAUUUUAACUUAACAAUAUAUUAAUUCUAAAUAGGGAAAAUCAGAUAAAUUAAAUUUUCUAAUUAAAUUAAAGUGCCAGCAAUUGCGGUUACUCUUAAAGUCAAAUUAUUUUUUCUUACAUUAUAAUUCUAAUAAUACAAGAUAUUAAACAUUUUAAGUAAAAUUUUAUGUUAAAUUUUAUUCCAUACAAACCUAAUUAAAAUUUAGAAAAUAAAAAAGGAUUAGAUACCCUUUUAUUUCUAUUAAAAAUAGGUAGUAUUUUUAAUAAAAACCUUUAUAUUAUGGCGGCAUCUCAUUUUAUUAGAGGAAUAUGUUUAUUAAUCGAUACCACACGAUUAUUUUUACUUUAAUCAAUAUUUUAUAUACCUCCGUUCUGAAUAAAUCUAAAUAUUUUAUUCUAAAUAAAAUUCUAAAAAUUUAGGUAAAGGUGUAAACUAUAUUUUAGAUAAAAUGUAUUACAUUAAAAAAAAUUUAAGGAUUUUUUUAAACAUAUUUUAAGGAAAAAGGAUUUAAAAGUAUUACUUUAUUAAUAUUUAAAUUUGAAUCAAAAAAUAUAUGUGCACAUAUCGCCCGUCACCCUCAUCUUAAGAUAAGGUAAGUCGUAACAUAGUUAAUGUUCUAGAAAGAGCAUUUU
rnacentral:ncRNA from 1 species